UAACAGCACAGCACGUCUGAGUACUGAAUGUGUUUUUGCUGAACUUGCACAGCAACAUCACCGACGCUGCCUGAGUCGCCACAGUUUCGUAACCACAGCAUGAACUGAAACAAUCUGAAGGUGCAGUAACAGAAGAGUUAACUUGUGUCUUCAAGAAGCAGCUGCAGAGCCAGAGAAUCCGCCGCCCCACUGAGACAUCCAGAGCAUCACAAAGCCAAGAGACAUACAAGAUGGCUGCUGGUGGUAUCGCUCGUCCUUUUGAAUACCCUGAAGGAGCUAGCGAACAAAGAAAGGAAAAGAUCAGAGAGAAAGCACUGCGUGGCAAUGAAGACACUCUGUUUUAUGAUACAGAUGCUGAAGGU